CAUCUGAGGCCUCCCCCUUCCCCUUCUCACUUCUUGCUAUACUAACUUAUCACACUUCCAUACUGGGACAUUUGAAUAUCUGUGUUGUAUAUGAACAAACCAUCUUAAAAGACCCCCUCAUUUUAUCUCCAAUAUGUGUUACAUGCAUUCUCUAGUGAAUGUGGUCAUUCCUAAUCCCAUCCAUUAUCAUGUUACCAAACAUCCAUUUUAACAUUCGCUUUUCUGCCACACUCAUCUUGCGGGUAUGUUGUACCAUAGAUGGCUAGAUGUCUAACAUUCACUCCCACACAACAUAGCUACUCUGACCACAGUACAACCCAGUAUGUUAGAAUAGAAAAGUAAAAUAAAUAAUUAAUAGUGUAGGAGGAUUCCAACUCCAAUGCCAGACUCCAUGAAAAUCGAUUUACUGGUUCUAGAGUAAUUUCAGAUGAGGCACAAAAGAAAAUUCUCAGUCUUUCAGAAACAGACAAGAUGGCCUUAUAUACUCUUA
rnacentral:misc_RNA from 1 species